rnacentral:rRNA from 1 species
GUGGUGAUAGUGGCGAACGGGUGAGUAACACGUGGGCAAUCUGCCCUUCACUCUGGGACAAGCCCUGGAAACGGGGUCUAAUACCGGAUACCACUCCCGCACGCAUCUGUGGGGGUUGAAAGCUCCGGCGGUGAAGGAUGAGCCCGCGGCCUAUCAGCUUGUUGGUGAGGUAAUGGCUCACCAAGGCGACGACGGGUAGCCGGCCUGAGAGGGCGACCGGCCACACUGGGACUGAGACACGGCCCAGACUCCUACGGCGAGGCAGCAGUGGGGAAUAUUGCACAAUGGGCGAAAGCCUGAUGCAGCGACGCCGCGUGAGGGAUGACGGCCUUCGGGUUGUAAACCUCUUUCAGCAGGGAAGAAGCGAAAGUGACGGUACCUGCAGAAGAAGCGCCGGCUAACUACGUGCCAGCAGCCGCGGUAAUACGUAGGGCGCAAGCGUUGUCCGGAAUUAUUGGGCGUAAAGAGCUCGUAGGCGGUCUGUCGCGUCGGAUGUGAAAGCCCGGGGCUUAACCCCGGGUCUGCAUUCGAUACGGGCAGACUAGAGUGUGGUAGGGGAGAUCGGAAUUCCUGGUGUAGCGGUGAAAUGCGCAGAUAUCAGGAGGAACACCGGUGGCGAAGGCGGAUCUCUGGGCCAUUACUGACGCUGAGGAGCGAAAGCGUGGGGAGCGAACAGGAUUAGAUACCCUGGUAGUCCACGCCGUAAACGGUGGGAACUAGGUGUUGGCGACAUUCCACGUCGUCGGUGCCGCAGCUAACGCAUUAAGUUCCCCGCCUGAGGAGUACGGCCG